UAUUACAUCUAUGAAGGAAAAAAACGAUCUUCAAAACAGAGAAGAAAUCGGGUGGAGAAAUCGGAAGUAUUAGAAGUUCAAAUCUGGAUCUGGGUUUUUCAGAUCUGGAUCUGAACAGACUUGAUUAAAAGGCCUCUCCCUCUUAUACUUUCUUCAAAUCCUUCUUCUAAAAUUCAUUUCUCAAAGCAAUCGCGUUCAUCUGGUGUUCAAGCAAUCGCGUUUAUCAAUGGAAGUCUUGUUACCUCUCUCAACCUUAUUUAAGGUGUCUUUGUUGCAUAAUGAAACAGG
rnacentral:lncRNA from 1 species